CAUGCCGCGUGAGUGAAGAAGGCCUUCGGGUUGUAAAGCUCUUUUGUCAGGGAAGAAACACCGGCUCUAACACAGUCCGGGAAUGACGGUACCUGAAGAAUAAGCACCGGCUAACUACGUGCCAGCAGCCGCGGUAAUACGUAGGGUGCGAGCGUUAAUCGGAAUUACUGGGCGUAAAGCGUGCGCAGGCGGUUAUACAAGACAGGCGUGAAAUCCCCGGGCUUAACCUGGGAAUGGCGCCUGUGACUGUAUAGCUAGAGUGUGUCAGAGGGGGGUAGAAUUCCACGUGUAGCAGUGAAAUGCGUAGAUAUGUGGAGGAAUACCAAUGGCGAAGGCAGCCCCCUGGGAUAACACUGACGCUCAUGCACGAAAGCGUGGGGAGCAAACAGGAUUAGAUACCCUGGUAGUCCACGCCCUAAACGAUGCUGACUAGUUGUUCGGGAUUUACAUCCUGAGUAACGUAGCUAACGCGUGAAGUCAGCCGCCUGGGGAGUACGGUCGCAAGAUUAAAACUCAAAGGAAUUGACGGGGACCCGNACAAGCGGUGGAUGAUGUGGAUUAAUUCGAUGCAACGCGAAAAAACUU
rnacentral:rRNA from 1 species